rnacentral:rRNA from 1 species
UACGUAGGGUGCAAGCGUUGUCCGGAAUUAUUGGGCGUAAAGAGCUCGUAGGCGGUUUGUCGCGUCUGCUGUGAAAACUGGGGGCUCAACCCCCCAGCCUGCAGUGGGUACGGGCAGACUAGAGUGCGGUAGGGGAGAUUGGAAUUCCUGGUGUAGCGGUGGAAUGCGCAGAUAUCAGGAGGAACACCGAUGGCGAAGGCAGA